rnacentral:rRNA from 1 species
CUAAUACCAUAUACGCUUCCUGAUUCGAGGAUUAGGGAAGGAAAGUCGUAUCAAGGAUACGGUGUUCAAGGAGGGGCUCAUGGCCUAUCAGCUUGUUGGUGGGGUAAUGGCCUACCAAGGCAACGACGGGUAGCUGGUCUGAGAGGAUGAUCAGCCACACUGGCACUGAGAUACGGGCCAGACUCCUACGGGAGGCAGCAGUGAGGAAUAUUGCGCAAUGGGCGAAAGCCUGACGCAGCGACGCCGCGUGGGGGAUGAAGGUUUUCGGAUUGUAAACCCCUUUCAGGAGGAAAGAUAAGGCAGGUUACUGCCU